rnacentral:rRNA from 1 species
AUACGUAGGGUGCAAGCGUUAAUCGGAAUUACUGGGCGUAAAGCGUGCGCAGGCGGUUUUGUAAGACAGAGGUGAAAUCCCCGGGCUCAACCUGGGAACUGCCUUUGUGACUGCAAGGCUAGAGUACGGCAGAGGGGGAUGGAAUUCCGCGUGUAGCCGUGAAAUGCGUAGAUAUGCGGAGGAACACCGAUGGCGAAGGCAAUCCCCUGGGCCUGUACUGACGCCCAUGCACGAAAGCGUGGGGAGCAAACAGGAUUAGAUACCCUGGUAGUCCACGCCCUAAACAAUUUCAACUGGUUGUUGGGUCUUCAGUGACUCAGUAACGAAGCUAACGCGUGAAGUUGACCGCCUGGGGAGUACGGCCGCAAGGUUGAAACUCAAAUGAAUUGACGUGG